GCCCAGCUGACGAGUCCCAAAUAGGACGAAAUGCGCCUUAUCCUGGAU
rnacentral:hammerhead_ribozyme from 1 species